rnacentral:lncRNA from 1 species
AGUUGCUCCCCAUCUCAGGCCCCAGGAAUGCAAAGUUUUAGAAAGUAAACAGCAACGGAUAGGAGUCAGAACGUUCCAGAUGGCUGGGCUGCACCGGCUCCCUCGGAAGCUGGAAACUGCCGUGCCGAACAGAGGCUGUGUGAAGGGCCGGAAACACAAGUCGCCGGCAUUUCUGUCUCCUUGUGGGCAUGACGUAGUGGUGCGGGCUGCUGCUUGUGCCAGGUGUCCUCACCCCUGCUUAAAGGGGUGAAGGUAUGAGGGGGCCACGCAGGUCUCCGAGCGUUGGGCAGUGCUGGCUCUGGGUGGCCCAGAGGGGAGGGCGGGGGCUCCAUCUGCGUUUGGGUAAGAGGAGAGACCAGAUCACAGUAUGCAACUCUAUUUUCACAUAGUGACUGUGCGUCAGAGACCCCGAAAACAGCCACCAUUUCCAAAGCUACGUUUCUAUGCAAUGGAGGAAAUUCGCGUGAGCCUGACAGUGCGUCCGCUGUCCGCGGCGGGCCCCUGUUGCAGAUGUGAAAAUCUGAUGCUUGUCCAAGAUCACCCAGCUAGGGAGUGAGGACCUGGGAGCAGCCCUUCUGAAGCAACAGGAAAAGCCAAAGCCAUCUGGAGAGGGUAUCGUGGUCACUUGAGCGGAGGGAGGAGAGGUCAGGCUCCCCGGCAGAGGGGCAGGAGGUGGAAGGGAGCACAGAUGCCUCGUCAAACCCACGGCCUCGGGAGUCGGCGGGAGCCUGGGGGACUCGCUCAUCCACGGCUGUGGGGGCCUUUGCAUGACUCCGGGGGCACAGGGACCGGGAUGGUUCUUUGGGCACUCCUGUCGUGCCUGCCUCUAGGGCUGUGUCAGGAGGUCUGGCCUUAACUCUCACGGAACAGGUACCCUUUGCAGUCUGUCCCCAGAGGGCAUGGUUGUGCCUGGAUGGGUGAACUGGACACGGGGGUCGGGAGAUCAUGCUCGUCCUGGUGCCCGGGAACCCCAAGCAGAGGACCCGGCAUAGAGCUGGGCGGACGGCAGAACCGCACCCUGAGCAGAGAGCCUGAUGUGGGGCUCGAUCCCAGAACCGUGGGAUCAUGACCUGAGCCGAAGGCAGAGGCUUUAACCCACUGAGCCACCCAGGCGCCCCCAAGGUGGACGUUCUUAACGCAGGCUCCAGCCUCACCGCCACCCACGCCUGCGUUUAGCAGCUCUGGCCCAGCUGCAUGCACUUGUACCUGUAGCGGUCGUUAAAGAAAUGAAUUAAGUUAAGUGAAUUGAAUUAAAGAAUUGAAUUGAGUUAACUGAAUUGAGUUAAAGAAAUGAAUCCGAAGAAAGAGAGAGAAAAUCUCUAUGUGUGUAUUUUACAUACGUGUUGGGUGAACUGACGGAGGUGGUGAUGAUGAUGGUGGUGUUGGUGGUGAUGGUGGUGAUGGUGAUGGUGGUUGUGAUGGUGAUGGUGGUGGUGUUGGUGAUGGUGAUGGUGAUGUGAUGGUGGUGAUGGUGGUUGUGAUGGUGAUGGUGGU